AUGCCUUCCUAAGUGCUAGACUGUGAUUAGGGAGGAGGUCCUGCAGUCACUGGGGUCUCAUAAGUCAUGAGAGUCAUGCUGCUCUCUCAAACCUACAUAGCUACAAGUAGUGGGUAUGUGCCUUGCACACGCCACUUAACCUCUCCCAGCCUUGGAGGUUUCUUCCGCCUAAAGUAGGUUAGUAACGGAAAUCUUUUCUUGGCACUAAAAGAAAGACACAAUGGCUGGGCACGGUGGCUCAUGCCUGUAAUCCCAGCACUUUGGGAGGCCAAGGCAGGUGGAUCACGAAGUCAGGAGUUCAAGACCAGCGAGACUCUGUCUCAAAGAAAAAAAAAAAAAAGGAAAAUACAAUUUAUUACCAAGACUAUGAGGACAACACCUUGUGGCCAGGAAAGGUGCAAUCCAUCAUUGUUUUCUAGUUGGUUGUUAAGAUUUCUGUGAUGAAUACAACUCAACAUCAGAGACUGUGUCUCCCUGUUUCCCAGUGUGGAAAAACACUUUCAAAGAUGCUUCAAGAAAUUUGAAAAUGUUUCCAUUUUAUCCAGAUGCAGAGAGAAUAAGAAGCAUAAGACCGUCCAGUUUAAUAUCAUUGCAAGCAAAUGUAUGAAUUUUUAUGGAUUGCAUAAUUGUCUCUCUUGUUCAUUGAAUUUCCUAUAUAGGAAGGAGAAAGGAGCAUUCAACAAACACAAUAUGCCAUGAUGCACUAUAGAUAAUGAAGCCUCUAUUGUACAAAAAACCAGAAACAUAAGAUUCCGAAAAUUUUAUUUUGGAUAAAAAUGUUACUAAAGAAAGAUACUGCCUGAGAGUGUAAGAUGU